rnacentral:rRNA from 1 species
UACGUAGGGCGCAAGCGUUGUCCGGAAUUAUUGGGCGUAAAGAGCUCGUAGGCGGCUUGUCACGUCGGGUGUGAAAGCCCGGGGCUUAACCCCGGGUCUGCAUUCGAUACGGGCUAGCUAGAGUGUGGUAGGGGAGAUCGGAAUUCCUGGUGUAGCGGUGAAAUGCGCAGAUAUCAGGAGGAACACCGGUGGCGAAGGCGGCUUGCUGGGCCAGUUCUGACGCUGAGGAGCGAAAGCGUGGGGAGCGAACAGG